rnacentral:rRNA from 1 species
CAGAAGCGGGGGAUAACACCUGGAAACAGAUGCUAAUACCGCAUAACAACUUGGACCGCAUGGUCCGAGCUUGAAAGAUGGCUUCGGCUAUCACUUUUGGAUGGUCCCGCGGCGUAUUAGCUAGAUGGUGGGGUAACGGCUCACCAUGGCAAUGAUACGUAGCCGACCUGAGAGGGUAAUCGGCCACAUUGGGACUGAGACACGGCCCAAACUCCUACGGGAGGCAGCAGUAGGGAAUCUUCCACAAUGGACGAAAGUCUGAUGGAGCAACGCCGCGUGAGUGAAGAAGGGUUUCGGCUCGUAAAACUCUGUUGUUAAAGAAGAACAUAUCUGAGAGUAACUGUUCAGGUAUUGACGGUAUUUAACCAGAAAGCCACGGCUAACUACGUGCCAGCAGCCGCGGUAAUACGUAGGUGGCAAGCGUUGUCCGGAUUUAUUGGGCG